UACAGAUGUAGUUGGCUUGAUAUGGGGAAACAUGGCCGCACAACAGAAGGUGGAGUAAGGCGGGGUUGCCUACGUAAAGGCAUAACAUUAUCAUAAUACAGGGCAAUGUAGAUGACUUGAUUUGGAAAAAAAUGUCCGCACCGAAAGUUGGAGUAAGGCGGGGUUGCCUACGUAAAGGCAUAACAGUAUCAUAAAACAGGGCAGUAAGUUUUAUUUUGUUAAAAAUUAUAAAAGUAAAAUUUUGCAGUAAUAAAAACUAAUAGAAUGAAUAUAAA